CCUACGGGAGGCAGCAGUGAGGAAUAUUGGUCAAUGGGCGGAAGCCUGAACCAGCCAAGUAGCGUGCAGGAUGACGGCCCUACGGGUUGUAAACUGCUUUUAUACGGGAAUAACGCGCCUUACGUGUAGGGCUUUGCAUGUACCGUAUGAAUAAGGACCGGCUAAUUCCGUGCCAGCAGCCGCGGUAAUACGGAAGGUCCGGGCGUUAUCCGGAUUUAUUGGGUUUAAAGGGAGCGUAGGCCGCAUGUCAAGCGUGCUGUGAAAUGUCCGGGCUCAACCCGGGCCUGGCAGUGGAAACUGGCAGGCUCGAGUCGGAGAGAAGCAGGCGGAAUGCGUGGUGUAGCGGUGAAAUGCUUAGAUAUGGCGAAGAACCCCGAUUGCGAAGGCAGCUUGCUGGAGCGAAACUGACGCUGAGGCUCGAAAGCGCGGGUAUCGAACAGGAUUAGAUACCCGGGUAGUC
rnacentral:rRNA from 1 species